rnacentral:rRNA from 1 species
UACGAAGGGGGCUAGCGUUGCUCGGAAUCACUGGGCGUAAAGGGUGCGUAGGUGGGCAGGUAAGUCAGUGGUGAAAUCCCCGGGCUUAACCCGGGAACUGCCAUUGAUACUAUCUGUCUUGAAUAUCCUGGAGGUGAGCGGAAUAUGUCAUGUAGCGGUGAAAUGCUUAGAUAUGACAUAGAACACCCAUUGCGAAGGCAGCUCACUACGGGAUCAUUGACACUGAGGCACGAAAGCGUGGGGAUCAAACAGG